rnacentral:rRNA from 1 species
AUUGAACGCUGGCGGCAGGCUUAACACAUGCAAGUCGAGCGGAGAUGAGGUGCUUGCACCUUAUCUUAGCGGCGGACGGGUGAGUAAUGCUUAGGAAUCUGCCUAUUAGUGGGGGACAACAUUCCGAAAGGAAUGCUAAUACCGCAUACGCCCUAAGGGGGAAAGCAGGGGAUCUUCGGACCUUGCGCUAAUAGAUGAGCCUAAGUCGGAUUAGCUAGUUGGUGGGGUAAAGGCCUACCAAGGCGACGAUCUGUAGCGGGUCUGAGAGGAUGACCCGCCACACUGGGACUGAGACACGGCCCAGACUCCUACGGGAGGCAGCAGUGGGGAAUAUUGGACAAUGGGGGGAACCCUGAUCCAGCCAUGCCGCGUGUGUGAAGAAGGCCUUUUGGUUGUAAAGCACUUUAAGCGAGGAGGAGGCUCUCUUGGUUAAUACCUAGGAAGAGUGGACGUUACUCGCAGAAUAAGCACCGGCUAACUCUGUGCCAGCCGCCGCGGUAAAAC